AUGGAUUUCAUGUUUCUCAAGAAGUUUACACUCCUCUUUCUCCUCAUUUCUGGAUCACUUUUAUCAACUUCUUUUGCAGGUCGAGCAUCAAAGUUCAUGAGAAUCACAGAUGAAGAUAUGAAUGCAGGAAAUGAGGUAUCAACAAUGAAGGCAAUAGAUGAGGAAGAAGUAAGCAUUAUCCAUGAGAGGCUUCUUAGGGCUAAUACAAAAGAUUAUGGACGAUAUGAUCCAACACCAACUUUUUCUAAGCCUCCUUAUAAGCUCAUACCAAAUUGA